GACGAACGCUUUCUUCUUUCCUAAUACAUGCAAGUAGAACGCACAGUUUAUACCGUAGCUUGCUACACCAUAGACUGUGAGUUGCGAACGGGUGAGUAACGCGUAGGUAACCUGCCUGGUAGCGGGGGAUAACUAUUGGAAACGAUAGCUAAUACCGCAUAAUAUUAAUUAUUGCAUGAUAAUUAAUUGAAAGGUGCAAUUGCACCACUACCAGAUGGACCUGCGUUGUAUUAGCUAGUAGGUGAGGUAACGGCUCACCUAGGCGACGAUACAUAGCCGACCUGGGAGGGUGAUCGGCCACACUGGGACUGAGACACGGCCCAGAAUACUACGGGAGGCAGCAGAAGGGAAUCUUAGGCAAUGGAAGCAAGUAUGACAGAGCAACGGCGCGUGAGUGAAGAAGGGUUUCGGAUCGUAAAGCUCUGUUGUACGAGAAGAACGGGUGUGAGAGUGGAAAGUUCACACUGUGACGGUAUCUUACCAGAAAGGGACGGCUAACUACGUG
rnacentral:rRNA from 1 species